rnacentral:rRNA from 1 species
UACAGAGGUCUCAAGCGUUGUUCGGAUUCAUUGGGCGUAAAGGGCGCGUAGGCGGCGCGGUAAGUCGGGUGUGAAAUCUCGGAGCUUAACUCCGAAACUGCAUUCGAUACUGCCGUGCUUGAGGACUGGAGAGGAGACUGGAAUUUACGGUGUAGCGGUGAAAUGCGUAGAUAUCGUAAGGAAGACCAGUGGCGAAGGCGGGUCUCUGGACAGUUCCUGACGCUGAGGCACGAAGGUCAGGGGAGCAAACAGG